AGUAUGCUCUCUAUAUUUGCCGUAGCUUUCCUCCCAAUGAGCAAGUGCCUUUUAAUUUCUUGGCUGCAGUCUUCGUCUGCGGUGAUCUUGGAGCCCAGGAAAAUAGGAGGUAGAUCUUUAUAAAUAGUGAAGAAGAAAGUAAGUUCCCUUUCUUCAGAAGGGAAGAGUACAUGGAGCUGGCCAUUGAAGUGUUGGCAGAUAGGAUCUGGGUUCCUUUUAAUCAUAGAGGAAGGGAAUUGACUACUGAAAUUGCUAUGCACCAGAAUAGCAUUAUGACUAACCCCCUCCCAGGACACCUACAGUGGGCAUUGAAUACUCAGUUACUUGAUGUAUAUUUGGAAUACUUAUGUGAUAAAUGAAAUCAAGGCCCUAGCCCAUUUUAGGAUUUAUUGCUCAUGAUUUUAAAUAUCAUGGUGCAUACUGGCAACACUUUUCUGUAUAUCACAAAAUGAUAUGUUGAUGAAUAUUGAUUUUUUUCACUUACAUUUAAAUGCUGCCAUCUCAGAUACUGCUGUCUGCAGCUAGUUAACACUAGGUGGUUCUUCACUAUCUCCUAAGUUGUAUGUAAUGAGAACUGAAACUAUGGAUUAGGUAUGAGUUGUUGUUGAACAUUGAAUUGUUGGUUUUGAAUAGUGAGAUGUUAUGUGCAAGUUAUGUGGUUUAACUGUGAGUAAUUAACCACAAACAAGCCUGGAAGGGAAGCCAUGGUUUGCUAUUGGGUUUGAACUCAGGGUUGCUUGUGGCUAAAAUCCUAUAGUUUAGCCAUAGCACAGAUUUACAUAUGAUGACUCAAGAUUCAACAACAAUCCUCAGUUCAGUAAUUACAGUUCAGCCUAUAUGAGGUAUUUUCAUUAAGCAUGAACUAAGUCAAUCCUUUUUUCCUCACAAAGAUUUUAUAAUUACUUGCCUAAUGAAUUUUAAGCAUGGAGUCACAAGCUGUCUCUGCUGCUCCCUUCUGAACAGAAUAUUGUUAUUAAUUACAUAGACAAAAGGCUUCCGACUUUGUGGUUUAUGAUAAGAAAUUUAUUUAAAACUCUCUUCUCCUAUAAACAAAAAGGAAGUAGCGCUUCCUUCAGGGUGGUUCAUACUGCUUCAGGACCAGUCAUUGGGAAUAUCUGACAUUACUCAUUUGUCUGCCUGUUUGAUAUGGCACCUUGUAAUUGGACUAAUAAUAUGAAGUAUGACUCCAUCUAACUCUACCUGUUUCCACAGAACCAGAUAUGGUCUACAUCUCAUUGGACUCUUGGCUUAUCUUUCAGCCAGCUGGCCUUGGCAUUUUAACUAAGAAUUUCCAUCCUGCCUCUUCUUCUGGUGCUGAUUCAGACUCUGAAGCAACAACCCUGGAAGGUUGUGCUCUAGGAAAAGUGGGCCUAGCCCCUGCAAGUGUUUUAUUUCUGUUUUUACAAACCUUAUAACAACAACAAAUGGAUAGGAUUUCACUGUGAUAUUUUAAAUUAGGACUAUUUUCUAUCUCUAGUUUACCUAGUUUGUUUACAACCAGUGCCAUUUAGGAAUGCAGCCCUCAGUUAAACUUUGGACAUUUGCGGGAUGGGUGAGAGUGCUUGUACAUCUGAAGAUAUGGCAUUUCCUAAUGCAGGUUGAAACCAUAGGGCUCCUGUGUAUUUAUAUAUAACUGGAUCAAGGAAUCAGGUUUACAAACAUGUUGUGGACAUGGAGUUGCUGUCUCCGAUCUUGUUGCCGCCUGGAAAGGUUAAUAACCAAGCAAUAUUUGUCACAAAUAUUCUAUGGAACGGCAUUCUAUGAUAAUGGUGGGGCUAGUACUUUUAUCCUACCUGGUCCUUUCUUGCCUUGUACAGCUGGUUGUAAUUACUGCUUUUUAAGAGGACAGCUCAGCUUUAAUGAAUGCACAAUUUUAUUGAGGCAAGGAUGUCCAAAGUAUAACUUCUCAGCAUUUGUUGUCAGACUUGUUUCCCAAUAAAUGAUGCCAGAAUGUUUAUUUUUACUAAUGUUGCAAAGUCUAUGGUUGACCUGUUACAACUAGCUUUCAUAGUCAGACUUACCUUUUAUUCAUUUAAGCUGUCUAAUGCUUUUUCAAAUUACUGUUCAUGUCUAUGACAGUCUUCCUCAACUUGGUGCUCUCCAGGGCAGUUAUGAGUUACAGGAUAUCCAACCAAUAAUUUCAGAACAGCAACCAACAUGGAUGUGUUUUAUUGUGCUUUAAUUUUUUGUGGUGAUACGAGAAUAUAUCAAAAUACUUUUGCCUAUUUAUAAAGAAUACUUGUCUCCUAGUUAAUUUUCUGCAUUGAAAGAGUCAGGUGACUUGAGACUGCAAGGUGCUCUGUAUUUUAGAGUUUUUUUUAAUGGAGAUGGUUUGCAUAACUUUAAUGAGCACUGAGGGCUAUGUAACACCUUGUGACCAUCGCAGAAUUAACUGAAACAUAUGUGGCUUUAUGUUGUUCCUUUCCUUUUCUGUUUCACUAGGGUAACUUGAAUGUUAAUAUUCACUUAUAUUUCCUAUUUUAGGAGCAGAGUGAAAGAAAGCUCUUUUUCCCCCUGUUAGUCUGGUUUUAAUGUGAUGUAUGAAGUUGUCUAAUACUAUGUUGGACUAUUGGUUUUUCAAGCUUAGUAUUGUCUAUUGUAGGCUUCUGCAACCUGGUGCCCUCCAGAUGUUUUGGAUUGUAACUUCUAGUAUUCCUGACCUUGGCCAUGCUUGCUGGGGCUGAUGGAACGUGAUGUCAAGUUUUCUGGAUUGCAUCAGGAUGAAGAAUGCUGGUGUACAGUGACAGGCAGAAAGCCUCCAGGCUAUUCGGCAGAAUUUUUUUCUGCUAGCCACAAUUGCUUGAAACAACAGCAACCAUGGCACCAUCUAUGGAAAUAUCAGAAACUAAACUCGGGCACUUCUGAAUGCAAUAUAGAUGCUUUUCCACUGGCCAGUGCCCCUUCUUGAAGAGAAGUUUAGAUGUGGAAGAGGAGCUCUGGAUAGCAAAUAGAUAUAAAGAAGUGACAUACCAUGCUUGAGAGAUUUGGAGCUGACCGUGAGUUUGUGCAGUUCAUCUCUUAAGUUAACUUACUUAAGUUAGUUUCCCUUUUGGGGAAGGCCUACAUUAAAUAGGCAGGGUGAUAUGUACCAGUUUAAGUGACAGAAUCGUAGAUAACAUUAGACUGUGGGAAAUUGCCAGUUAUUAGCAGUAUCAUUUAAUAAACCACACCUGUGUGCUUGACCCUGGCCCAUCAUGGUUUAUCACUUUUAAAAGGGAGGGGAGAUCACUCUGCGUCCUAGUCAUACACAUCUCCUUGAGAGAGGGAGUGGUGCCAAUCUCCUUUAAGGCAAUAAUAAUUAGGCCACUUCUUAAAAAAGGUCUAACCUGGACAACAACAACAGGGGCCUAGUAGUCUAUAUUCUUUUCCUGGUCAAGGUAUUUGAGCAGAUGGGUUGCCAGUCUACUCCAAGCACUCUUGAAUUAAAUGAAUUUUGUAGAGCUGGUGUGGUGUCAUGGUUAGAACGUUGGACUUGGGUACUGGGAGAACAAGUUCUAGUCCAUGCUCACCCAUGAAGUGCACUCAGGUGAUUGGGGCUACACACAGACUCUCAGCCCAACCUGCAUCACAGGAUAAAAUGAAGUUAUGUAAACUAAUUUGGGUUUCCCACAAGAGGAAAAAGGCUGGAUGUAAAUGCAUUGUAACAAUGAUAAUGAUUAUAAUUAUAGAUCAUAUUCAAGCGUGCAUUUGGAAAAGAAACUUCCUUGGUCACUUUGCUGGGAGAAGGACAGUACAACCUUGUUUAUUAUUUUGGACCUCUCAGUGACUUUUGAUACCAUGGACCAUGAAAUCCUUCUGGAUAGGCUGUCUGGGUUAAGAGUUGGAGGCACUGCAUUCCAGAAGGAUUACUUGGGGGUGCCUUUGAAAACAGUACUGAAACUUCGGCUGUUUCAAAACACGGCAAUGAGUUUGUUAAGAGGAAAUGGCCAUAUUAAGCCAGUACUUACUAUCUCAGUUGGCUGUCAGUCCCUGUCCAGGCCUGAUUCAAAGUGCUGUUAUUAUUUGAACUUCUAAAUGACUUGGGGCCAGAUUACCUGAAGGAUCAUCUCCUCCCAUAUAUUCCUGCCCAGACCCUAAGAUCAGCCUCAGUAGUCCUUCUAAGCAAGCCCUUGCCAAUCGAAGUCAGGAGGCUAGCUACUAAGAAGUCAGCUGCUAGCUCGCCUGGCACCUUCAUUGCACUCUUUCCAGCACUAGGUAGAAACCUUCCUAUUUUCCCAGGAAUAUUAGUUCCAGUCUGUUAGUUAAAUUCUGCAUUGUAUUUUAAAUCAAUAGUA